AUUUUUACACACCCUUUUCUAUUUUCUUUUCAUUUUAUUUCGUACAACCAUUCGUAAACAUCAUUUUUGCUCCUUUUUAACUUGAACUAUUUUCGUUAUUUUUUAACAACAAAGUGCCGACGACUGAAAUUGUUCUUGUUUUGCUAUUGUUUACUUAAAAAUGUUUGCCAAUUUGUUUCAUUUGCAAGAAAUGUAAGAACUAAAAAUGCACUGGCGGACAAAAAUUGGGUGCAUUGCCUUGUUAACAUUUCUGUACUGUGAGUUUUUGGCGGAUUUUAUUCAGCUUUCAUUUUGCAAUUGGCCAAAGCUGUCACAUAAAAUCAUUAAAAAUAGAAAUGAGGAGGAGCUGAGGGCUGUUAUAGUUGCCGAUACACAUCUACUGGGUCCAAUACGUGGCCACUGGCUAGAUCGGCUGUACAGAGAAUGGCAUAUGCAUCGGAGUUUUCAGGCUGCAAUGAGACUCUUCCAACCCGAUGUCGUUUUCGUGUUGGGUGACCUUUUCGAUGAGGGCGACUUUGUUAAUAAUAGUGAUUUUGAACAUUAUGUACAACGAUUUCAUCGCCUUUUCAGCACACCAGCCGGCGUUCCUAUUAUUAGUGCUGUGGGUAAUCAUGAUAUCGGAUUCCAUUAUAAAAUGGGCGGUUAUUUUAUUAAGCGUUUUUCAAAACACUUCAAUAGCAGUGGUGUGGAAAUGUACACAAUCAAAGGAAAUCAUUUUGUAAUGAUCAACUCGAUGGCAAUGUUAAAUGAUGGCUGUAGCUUCUGUAACACAGCUUUGCGUGAUUUAAAUAAAAUAUCAGCACAAUUAACAUGUCUAAAAAACCGGGAAACAUGCACCGACAUCCAUGCGCUUAAGGUGCACAAAACCUACAGUCGUCCGAUUUUGAUGCAACACUUUCCUACCUAUCGAAAAUCGGAUGCAGUAUGCAGGGAACAUGAUGCACCCAAUAUAGAGUUAUUUCGUGAAAACUGGGAGGUGCUUUCAAAGGAAUCUACCGAUUUAAUAGGUCGCCUGCUCCUACCACGCGUUGCCUUUGCUGGUCAUAGUCAUCACUAUUGCUUCAGCAUUAAUCGUUUUGGUGUUGAAGAGUAUACAGUAGCUUCCUUUAGUUGGCGUAAUAAAGUUGAGCCAAGCUUCUUAAUGGCUUCAUUUAGUGCGAGUACUUAUUCUGUGUUAAAAUGCAAUAUGCUGCCACAACAGCAUGUCUACAAUAUUUACAUGGCGACUGCGACAUUGUUAUUGGGUGCAAUUAUAUGGAAAUUGUGCAAAAAAAUUCUGGUCAAAAGGAUAAAAAAAGGGAUUACUUAAACAUAUUACAGAAUUUUAAUGUAUUUGUAUGCCUUUGUAUGUGAUUUCCAGAUUAGGUUUUGCGGCCAUCUUAAUUUUAGUAGAUUACUUGCGUUCUAUUUACCUGUUUUAAUACUAUAUUAACUUAAAAGUACGUACAAAUAAAAAUAA